GAAGAGCAGGAUGACUAGAAGAUUUCAAAAAGGAAAAAGUCUAUGUAACCCCCCAACGUACUAAGGGUCGAUCACAUCACCCCCUCAACUACAAAACCGGAUGUUUAACCCCCCGAACUGCGCAAAACCACUUAAAUAACCCCCUGAGGUGGUUUUGCAUAGUGGUUUUGCCAUGUUAGCACAUUGAGGUGGACUGAAAUAAUGACAUAGACUAGCUGAUACGUGGACGCUGCUUGUAAGUAUUAGAGUGCAAAUCUUAUCUAUUGGGCUAACCCUAGUGGGUAGCUAUAUAGCAGUCAUACAUGGGCCUUAAUGGGUCAUAAUACACACAUCACAUACACCAACACUCCCCCGCAGUCUGAACUACCGACGCAGCGGAGUUGCAGACUGGACAUGAAAAGAAAGGCACACAGCCCCCCCACAGACGCAACUAGCCACAGGUGAUGUUGAGGCUGGAGCGAAACUCGGUGAAGGCAGGUGACGGGAGGCCCUUGGUGAAGAUGUCAGCAAACUGAGAGGUGGUCAGGACGUGGAGGACCCGAACAUCGCCGAUGGCGACCCGAUCCCGGACGAAGUGAAGGUCAAUCUCCACAUGCUUGGUCCGCUGGUGCUGAACAGGGUUGGUGGAGAGGUACACCGCACUGACGUUGUCGCAGUAGACAAGAGUGCUCCGGGAAGAAGGGGUGUGGAGCUCGGCAAGGAGCUGCCGAAGCCAUGAUGCCUCGGCCACGCCGUUAGCGACAGCGCGGUACUCCGCCUCGGCACUGGAGCGGGAGACCACCGGCUGACGCUUGGACGACCAGGACACCAGGUUGCCGCCCAAAAAGACGGCGUAGCCGGAGGUAGAGCGCCGAGUGUCCGGACACCCGGCCCAGUCAGCGUCGGUGUAGACAACGAGCUCAGUGGAGGGAGACCUGUGAAGGAGGAGGCCGUAGUCCACAGAGCCUCGGAGGUAACGGAGUAGGCGCUUGAGAGCAGUGAGAUGGGGCUCCCUGGGAUCAUGCAUGUGGAGACAAAUCUGCUGAACCGCAUAAGUGAUAUCCGGCCUGGUGAAAGUGAGGUAUUGAAGGGCCCCAGCCAGACUCCGGUACGCAGUAGCAUCUGUCACAGGAGUGCCGUCGGCCUCGGACAACUUGGCCUGAGUGUCAACUGGAGUGGAGCAGGGCUUGCAGUCAGUCAUCCCAGCUCGCUCCAGGAUAUCAAGAGUAUACUGCCGCUGGUGAAGAAAGAGGCCAGCCGGACGAGGCUCAACGGUGACCCCAAGAAAGUGAUGGAGCACACCCAGAUCCUUCAUGGCAAACUCCUGCUGAAGUGAGGUAAUAAUCCGCCGGAGGAGGGACGGACUGGAGGCAGUGAGGACAAUGUCAUCAACAUAGAGCAGCAGAUAAGCAGUCUCAGCACCAUGGUGAUAGAUAAACAGUGAAGUAUCAGACUUGGCCUCCACAAACCCCAGCGUCAGUAGGUAGGCAGCAAACCGCGAAUACCAAGCUCGGGGGGCCUGCUUGAGGCCAUAAAGUGACUUGUUGAGCUGGCAGACCAUAUCAGGCCGAGAAGAGUCAACAAACCCCGCUGGCUGGCUGCAGUAAACAGUCUCAGUCAGAGUGCUGUGCAGGAAGGCGUUCUUGACGUCGAGCUGAUGCACGGGCCAGGAGCGGGAGAGAGCUAGUGAGAGAAUAGUCCGGACAGUAGCUGGCUUGACCACCGGACUGAACGUCUCGUCGUAGUCGACACCAGGGCGCUGAGUGAAACCCCGGAGAACCCAGCGAGCCUUGUAUCGCUCGAGGGUACCAUCAGCCUGCAAGUCGCAAGUCGCGUCACCAUAGGGUGAACGUGACGCGGGUGCCGGUGUAGUAGAGGCGGAUGGUACACCGACGGCGCGACACGAGCAGUCGGGGCCGGUGGAGGUGGUGGUGGUGUAGGCGUCGCCAGCGGAGAAGAGUCCACCGGCGAUGACUGAGGCGGCGACGGCGGUGGCGGGGCCGGCUGCAGGUCCAGGGGAGCCGGCCGCGCCCGGCGCUGGUAGACGCGCACGAGCUGCGCAAACCGGACAGCAGGUGCUGCGGGCGGUGCCACCGGUCCCGCGCAGGGCGAAGGGGGAGAAGCAGCACCAGAGGCCGGCACCGUCGGACUCGUGCUGGGCGCAGGGUCAGGGACAGCACCGGUGGACGUCGAGCCCGAGGAGAACCACGGCGGAGCAGUACCUGCAGAACACAACGGUAGCGGUGGCUGGUCCACCGGGUCAGUGGGAAACAGGGAGGAGAGAUCAGGGUCGGAGGUGGAAGGAGGUGGGGAGGUGGUGGAGUAAGGGAAGACGGACUCGUCAAACACCACGUGGCGAGAGAUGAGGACCCGCCGAGAGGAGAGGUCAAAGCAACGGUACCCCUUGUGAUCCGGGGAGUACCCGAGGAAGACACACUGAGUCGAACGGGGAGCCAGCUUAUGAGGAGCGGUGGCUGCGGUGUUAGGAUAACACGCACACCCGAAGACCCGAAGGUGAUCGUAGCGGGGGGAGGUACCGAAGAGAGCGUGGUGUGGAGUGGGAGCGGGGCAGGCAACGGAAGGUAGUCGGUUAAGGAGAUAGGUGGAGGUGUGAAGACUCUCAGCCCAGAAGGGGGCAGGGAGAGAAGACUGGAACAGAAGAGAGCGCAUGGUGUCGUUCGUGGUACGAAUCAUGCGUUCAGCCUUACCGUUCUGGGAGGAGGUAUAGGGACAUGACAUGCGUAGGUGCACGCCGUGAGAGAGGAAGAACGCACGGGAGGUGGUGUUAUCAAACUCGCGGCUGUUGUCACAUUGGACGGCCUUGAUGGUGAGACCGAACUGAGUGGACACCCAAGCGAAGAAGUGGAGAAGCGUGGGGAAAGUAUCAGACUUGGCACGCAAGGGAAAAGUCCAAGAAUAAUGAGAGAAAUCAUCAACCACAAUAAGAUAGUACUUGUAGCCAGAAAUGCUCAGAACAGGCGAUGUCCAUAGAUCGCAAUGUACAAGAUCAAACACAUGGGUCGCAUGUGAAGAGGAGGUAGGAAAAGGAAGUCGAACAUGACGGCCCAGUUGGCACGCCUGACACAGGUGCUCAUCAUGAGCCCGAGUACAUGGUAUGUCGGAACUACGACUAAGCUGUGUCAGGACAGCACGGCCAGGAUGACCUAGACGCCGGUGCCAUGUAGUGGAAGAAGCUGUGGCGGCAAAAGCGGCUGAAGAAGCGGAGGGCGAAGCGGAAGAAGUGGACGCAGGAAAUCGGAGGGAGUAAAGGGGCCCGGUGCUGUCACAUCGGAGAAGAGGUCGCCGGGUAGCCAAAUCCUUCACAGUAAGACCAGAGGAGUCAAAUUCAACAGAACAGGAAUUAUCAGUGGUAAAACGGCGAAUAGAAAGAAGGUUGUGAACCAUGGAGGGAGCAACAAGAACAUCAGAAACCCGAAAAGAACCGGGAGUGUGAGCGGUACCCACGGAGGUGACAGGAAGACAAGAACCAUUGGCGACCAUGAUGGACGAAGGGUGGGAGGAAGAAGGAGGGUGAACGGAAGAGAGUAUACCAGGGUCGGGUGUAGUAUGGAAAGUGGCACCCGAGUUGGCGAUCCAGUCCUGACCGACUGGAGGAGUCAGGGCCAUGGUGCCGAAAGAGCGUGCCAAGGCUGUCGGGUCCCACCCGACAGGCCCAGGCGAGGCCCCGGGAGGUGGAGCCCACGGCGACGCAAACGGAGCAGCCGGGACAGCGCCAGCGAGCAUGGCGGUCGGUGGACGAGGCUCGCCUCCGGNNNNNNNNNNNNNNNNNNNNNNNNNNNNNNNNNNNNNNNNNNNNNNNNNNNNNNNNNNNNNNNNNNNNNNNNNNNNNNNNNNNNNNNNNNNNNNNNNNNNCCUGCAGGAGGUGGGGAGGGCCGCUGCCGGGUGAUCCAGGUGCGGAGGUGGGCGUAGCGCUCGUUGAGGCCGCGAAGAACGUUGAGAACCAAGAUCCGGUCCUCCACGGCCCAGCCAAGGUCCCCGAGGGAGUCCGCCAUGGUCUUCAUCUUCCGGCAGAACUCGCCAACGGAGAGGUCGCCCUGGACGAAGGUGCGGAAGCUCGCAUCGAGACGAAGGGCCCGGGCUUCGGCGUUGCCCAGGAACUGGCCCUCGAGCGCCAGCCAGGCCUGGCGGGCGGUGGUGUCGGGGGUGCCGCGGACGAGAUCGUGGAGGUCGAGGGAGAUGGUCCCCAGGAUCCACGACAUGACGAUGCUGUCGAGGCGAACCCACGCAGCUGUCCGGGCCGCAGGGAUGGUGUCGGUGAGGACAUGGUCGUCGAGGGCGUAGCGGCGGAGAAUGAGCAGCACCAUGUCCCGCCAGCGGGCGUAGGAGGGCGACUCAGGGUCGAGGACGACGGGGACCAAGCUCUUGAUGUUCUGAACACCCCCGGCCUGGUAGUGGAGCUGCGCGACGAGUGGAUCGGCCGGGUCGGUCCAGGCCACCACAGGCGGACGGGGAGCACCGGAGCCGGAGGAGGUGGCAGUGCUGUCGUGGGACAUCAGGUGGGCGAGGAGCUGCUCCGCCUCGGCGAUCUGACGGGCCAAGACGUCGGCCGCAUCCCGCUCCCGCUCCCAGGCCAGGGCUGCCGCGCGUAGGCGAGCUUGGCCCUCGGCAGCAGCAGCCCGGGCAGCGACGAGGGCCGCAGCGAGAGUGACCUCGGGAGUGCCUCCGGCGUGUAGGGGCAGAGGUGGUGGUGCGGGGAAAGGGAGGCGAGCAUGCCCCCCCCUGGUGCCCACGGGGAUAUCACCAGGGGCACCAGGAGGAGCAUGCCCUCCCGGUAGAAGAGCCCCCACGUCCUGGUGAAGGGCGGCGGCUGCGGCGGCGGCAGCGGGAUCCCCGCCCGCACGCCCGCCGGCGCCCGCGCGGAGAGCGGCGGCGGCGGCGGCGGCGGCGGCGGCAGGGCCCGCCCCGACGGCCGCCAGUGCCGCGGCCGCAGGAGGCCAGCCGGCGGACGCGACCUGUGCCCACGAGGGAGGAAGAGAGGGGAAAGAGGAGAGGGGAGGGGGAAGGGGGUCGCCGGCCAUGGCGCCGGCCGGCGGCGGCGGCGGCGGCGGCCAGGAAACCCUAACCUAGGCUGAUACCAUAUUAGAGUGCAAAUCUUAUCUAUUGGGCUAACCCUAGUGGGUAGCUAUAUAGCAGUCAUACAUGGGCCUUAAUGGGCCAUAAUACACACAUCACAUACACCAACAGUAAGCGAUACAAUAACCGAUCCUCAUAAAUUCUACUCUUUUUAUUUCAGUACAACCCACAUGACUCACCAACUCUGAGAAAAAUCACAGCUGGCCCCUUUUGUUCUUAUCCUCCGACGACGCACACCGGCGGUUGGCCACUCCAUUCUUCUCCGCCAUGAGCGACAAGUGCAGGUCCCCCAUUCUGCAGUUCUCCGCCUCCACCAACACCCGCACACACGCCUCCCUGGAGACCCGAGGUUGCUGUGCACUUCGACCAUGCACCGGUCAUCGGCCUCAAUCUGCUCUGCGUGGUGUCCAGCGGCGGAUCCGUUGCCUCGAGCUUGCCCACACUACCAUCGAUUUUCCUUGACCCAAUGUCGAUUUCGCUCGACCCGUCAUUGAUUUUGCUCACCUUCCCCCGAUUUCGACAGAGCCGAUGGACAAGGUGAAUGAGCUGAUGAAGUGGGUGCGCGAGCAAAGGUUCAGCAAGGCACACAAAGGACAGCUGUGACCCGCAGGCCACAGGGCAUGAGCAUGACGAUGGCAACCUGAAGGCGUUGUCGGAGCAGCUGCCAGAUCUAUCGUGCGAGAACCUUGGCCUGGAGCAGGGCAACAUCACGGGUGGCUUCCACGGACCUAGCAAGGGUGUCCUGACAUUCGGCACCAAAGCCAGCAGCAACCCAUGGUGCCUACACCCGAACCCGUUGCUCAAGGAUGACCUCGUCGGUGGGUAGCUCCAGCUCCUCAAGGACGACGGGCAGGUUGAGGGGAGUGCUGGAGCAGGUGAGCAACCAUGGGAGAGAGGGAGAGAAGAAGAUUAGAAGAUAGAGGAUCCUGACGUGCCAACUUACAAGUGGAGCCCACGUGUCAGCAUCUUGGUCCACCUCAGCAUGACAAGGUGGCAAAACCACUACGCAAAACCACCUCGGGGGGUCAUUUAAAUGGUUUUGCGCAGUUCAGGUGGUUAAACAUCUGGUUUUAUAGUUGAGGGGGUGAUGUGACCAACCCUUAAUACGUUGGGGGGUUAUGUAGACUUUUUCCUUUCAAAAAUGAAAAUAAAAAACAAUAUAAUAGAUGCACAGUACCUAGUCGAAUCCGUAAGGUUCUCAUGCAUGCUAAAGCAAGCAGUUUGACUCAGUGGAGUGAUUUCGAGAAGCCAAGGAUGGCACAGAUGUAAGGAAAUGUUGAGGAGAAGCAAUGAAGGAUGUAAUUUGAGAUGUGUAAUUCAAGAAACUCUAUGCACUGAUGUGACAAGAACCCCACAUGACAUGUGUCAGACUAAACACUAUAUUUACAAGAUCCAAAAACAAGCUAACAGUAUUAUUUCAUGGAUUAUAAUUGUUUAGAAACAAAGCAAUAAAGUAGGGAAUAGUGACAUGGAAUAUAUAUAUAUAUAUAUAUAUAUAUAUAUAUAUAUAUAUAUAUCACAAUAAAUGGGAAAGAACAGAGAAUGCUGCAAACAAACCAAAAUAAUUUAAUAAGAGUAAAUUAC
rnacentral:lncRNA from 1 species